rnacentral:rRNA from 1 species
UACGGAGGGAGCUAGCGUUGUUCGGAAUUACUGGGCGUAAAGGGCGCGUAGGCGGCAAUUCAAGUCAUCUGUGAAAUCUCCGGGCUUAACUCGGAAACUGCCAUUGAUACUAUCUUUCUUGAAUACCGUGGAGGUCAGCGGAAUAUGUCAUGUAGCGGUGAAAUGCUUAGAUAUGACAUAGAACACCAAUUGCGAAGGCAGCUGGCUACACGAAUAUUGACACUGAUGCACGAAAGCGUGGGGAUCAAACAGG